AAAUUGAAGAGUUUGAUCAUGGCUCAGAUUGAACGCUGGCGGCAGGCCUAACACAUGCAAGUCGAACGGUAGCACAGAGAGCUUGCUCUCGGGUGACGAGUGGCGGACGGGUGAGUAAUGUCUGGGAAACUGCCUGAUGGAGGGGGAUAACUACUGGAAACGGUAGCUAAUACCGCAUAACGUCGCAAGACCAAAGAGGGGGACCUUCGGGCCUCUUGCCAUCAGAUGUGCCCAGAUGGGAUUAGCUAGUAGGUGGGGUAAAGGCUCACCUAGGCGACGAUCCCUAGCUGGUCUGAGAGGAUGACCAGCCACACUGGAACUGAGACACGGUCCAGACUCCUACGGGAGGCAGCAGUGGGGAAUAUUGCACAAUGGGCGCAAGCCUGAUGCAGCCAUGCCGCGUGUAUGAAGAAGGCCUUCGGGUUGUAAAGUACUUUCAGCGGGGAGGAAGGUGUUGUGGUUAAUAACCGCAGCAAUUGACGUUACCCGCAGAAGAAGCACCGGCUAACUCCGUGCCAGCAGCCGCGGUAAUACGGAGGGUGCAAGCGUUAAUCGGAAUUACUGGGCGUAAAGCGCACGCAGGCGGUCUGUCAAGUCGGAUGUGAAAUCCCCGGGCUCAACCUGGGAACUGCAUUCGAAACUGGCAGGCUAGAGUCUUGUAGAGGGGGGUAGAAUUCCAGGUGUAGCGGUGAAAUGCGUAGAGAUCUGGAGGAAUACCGGUGGCGAAGGCGGCCCCCUGGACAAAGACUGACGCUCAGGUGCGAAAGCGUGGGGAGCAAACAGGAUUAGAUACCCUGGUAGUCCACGCCGUAAACGAUGUCGACUUGGAGGUUGUGCCCUUGAGGCGUGGCUUCCGGAGCUAACGCGUUAAGUCGACCGCCUGGGGAGUACGGCCGCAAGGUUAAAACUCAAAUGAAUUGACGGGGGCCCGCACAAGCGGUGGAGCAUGUGGUUUAAUUCGAUGCAACGCGAAGAACCUUACCUACUCUUGACAUCCAGAGAACUUUCCAGAGAUGGAUUGGUGCCUUCGGGAACUCUGAGACAGGUGCUGCAUGGCUGUCGUCAGCUCGUGUUGUGAAAUGUUGGGUUAAGUCCCGCAACGAGCGCAACCCUUAUCCUUUGUUGCCAGCGGUCCGGCCGGGAACUCAAAGGAGACUGCCAGUGAUAAACUGGAGGAAGGUGGGGAUGACGUCAAGUCAUCAUGGCCCUUACGAGUAGGGCUACACACGUGCUACAAUGGCGCAUACAAAGAGAAGCGAACUCGCGAGAGCAAGCGGACCUCAUAAAGUGCGUCGUAGUCCGGAUUGGAGUCUGCAACUCGACUCCAUGAAGUCGGAAUCGCUAGUAAUCGUAGAUCAGAAUGCUACGGUGAAUACGUUCCCGGGCCUUGUACACACCGCCCGUCACACCAUGGGAGUGGGUUGCAAAAGAAGUAGGUAGCUUAACCUUCGGGAGGGCGCUUACCACUUUGUGAUUCAUGACUGGGGUGAAGUCGUAACAAGGUAACCGUAGGGGAACCUGCGGUUGGAUCACCUCCUUA
rnacentral:rRNA from 1 species